rnacentral:rRNA from 1 species
CCUCGGGAGUGCUGCAGUGGGGAAUAUUGGACAAUGGGCGAAAGCCUGAUCCAGCCAUGCCGCGUGUGUGAAGAAGGCCUUCGGGUUGUAAAGCACUUUCAGUGGGGAAGAAAGCCUUGGGGCUAAUACCCUCGAGGAAGGACAUCACCCACAGAAGAAGCACCGGCUAACUCCGUGCCAGCAGCCGCGGUAAUACGGAGGGUGCGAGCGUUAAUCGGAAUUACUGGGCGUAAAGCGCGCGUAGGCGGUCUGAUAAGCCGGUUGUGAAAGCCCCGGGCUCAACCUGGGAACGGCAUCCGGAACUGUCAGGCUAGAGUGCAGGAGAGGAAGGUAGAAUUCCCGGUGUAGCGGUGAAAUGCGUAGAGAUCGGGAGGAAUACCAGUGGCGAAGGCGGCCUUCUGGACUGACACUGACGCUGAGGUGCGAAAGCGUGGGUAGCAAACAGGAUUAGAUACCCCGAGUAGU